rnacentral:rRNA from 1 species
CAAUAGCGUAUAUUAAAGUUGUUGCGGUAAAAAAGCUCGUAGUUGGAUUUCUACCGAAGAUAGCCGGUCGGGUCUUCGACCUUGUAUCUGGUUUUGUCUUUGGUAUUCUCAUAGGGAACGUUUCUGCGCUUUAUUGCGUGGUGCGGUAUCUAUGACUUUUACUUUGAGGAAAUUAGAGUGUUCACGGCAGGCAAACGCCUUGAAUAUAUUAGCAUGGAAUAAUAACAUAGGAUCUUCGUCCUAUUUUGUUGGUUUCUAGGGCUAAGAUAAUGAUUAAUAGGGAUAAUUGGGGGCAUCUGUAUCAACGCGUCAGAGGUGGAAUUCUUGGAUUGCGUUGCGACAAACUACUGCGAAAGCAUUUGCCAAGGAUGUUUUCAUUGA